GGAGCCGCAAAUUAGCCGAUAAACACAGAUGGGGGAGUAAACGAAGACGAAUUCAUUCUCGACGCGACAAUGGUUUCCUAUGGAGACGAAGGGAUGGCGAUUGGACGAGCGAGGGUUAAAAGCGAGCGCUGCAGGAGGAGAGAGAGAGUCACUGGAGGACUUGCUAAUUAGGCAGCGGCAACACGAGCCUCAUCUGCAUGCGGGGUAUGCAAAUUGACCGGCUGGCUCUUUCUUUUUGUCCCGGAUCAGAAGGCGAGAGCUGCAGAGAAGAAUUAAGAGCCAUUAUUCUACCCAAGGAGAGGCUGAUGUAUGCAGAAGAGGGGGAUGAGGAUGAGAGGAAAGAACACUUUUACCACAGAGAUGUACAAUGGACUCCACUGGAAAGGAGAGUCAAAUACAAUCACACAAACGCACUCUUAUUCUCUCGCACAGCCUGGAAGAUCCUUCUACAUUUGAGGUGGAAAUUGCGAAAGAGAAAACGGCAAUCACGCACCUUUAUUUGCCGUUAUGCCUAUCUCCACAUAUCGAUAGGCUGCUUUGUGGAUGAUAAUUACCUUUUGGAA
ensembl:lncRNA